UUGGGUGGUAGAGAGAGAGGGAGGGAGGGGGUUGAAUCGCUGCUGUGCUGUGAUGUUGCGGUUGCUGCUUGGGUACUCACUUGAAGGGGAGAUGGUGGGAUGGGACUUUUAUUAAUUAGAUGGAGUCAAUUUCCCAUAAUGCCUCUACUUUCUCUUAUAGAGAGGUUCCUUCCUGGACAAAUUCUUUUCUUUACCUUGACCAUGAAGUGCCAUGGGAUGACCUUUUGUGCUCUUGCUUGGCAUGAUAAACAAUAUUGCCAAGCAUUAUCUCAGUUAUUUAAUCAGUUUCAUGGCCUUUCUUUUAGGAUAAUUACUUUUCUGUACUUCCAUUCAAAAAUAA
rnacentral:lncRNA from 1 species